GACGAACGCUGGCGGCGUGCCUAAUACAUGCAAGUUGAGCGAUGAAGAUUGGUGCUUGCACCAAUUUGAAGAGCAGCGAACGGGUGAGUAACGCGUGGGGAAUCUGCCUUUGAGCGGGGGACAACAUUUGGAAACGAAUGCUAAUACCGCAUAACAACUUUAAACAUAAGUUUUAAGUUUGAAAGAUGCAAUUGCAUCACUCAAAGAUGAUCCCGCGUUGUAUUAGCUAGUUGGUGAGGUAAAGGCUCACCAAGGCGAUGAUACAUAGCCGACCUGAGAGGGUGAUCGGCCACAUUGGGACUGAGACACGGCCCAAACUCCUACGGGAGGCAGCAGUAGGGAAUCUUCGGCAAUGGACGAAGGUCUGACCGAGCAACGCCGCGUGAGUGAAGAAGGUUUUCGGAUCGUAAAACUCUGUUGGUAGAGAAGAACGUUGGUGAGAGUGGAAAGCUCAUCAAGUGACGGUAACUACCCAGAAAGGGACGGCUAACUACGUG
rnacentral:rRNA from 1 species